rnacentral:rRNA from 1 species
AAGUGAGAAUGCCGGUGUGAGUAGCGAAAGACGGGUGAGAAUCCCGUCCACCGAUUGACUAAGGUUUCCAGAGGAAGGCUCGUCCGCUCUGGGUUAGUCGGGUCCUAAGCUGAGGCCGACAGGCGUAGGCGAUGGAUAACAGGUUGAUAUUCCUGUACCACCUAUAAUCGUUUUAAUCGAUGGGGGGACGCAGUAGGAUAGGCGAAGCGUGCGAUUGGAUUGCACGUCUAAGCAGUAAGGCUGAGUAUUAGGCAAAUCCGGUACUCGUUAAGGCUGAGCUGUGAUGGGGAGAAGACAUUGUGUCU